rnacentral:rRNA from 1 species
GACGAACGCUGGCGGCGUGCCUAAUACAUGCAAGUCGAGCGGACUGACUGGGAGCUUGCUCUUGUUCGGUCAGCGGCGGACGGGUGAGUAACACGUGGGCAACCUGCCCGCAAGACCGGGAUAACUCCGGGAAACCGGAGCUAAUACCGGAUAACACCGAAGACCGCAUGGUCUUUGGUUGAAAGGCGGCGCACGCUGCCACUUGCGGAUGGGCCCGCGGCGCAUGAGCUAGGUGGUGAGGUAACGGCUCACCAAGGCGACGAUGCGUAGCCGGCCUGAGAGGGUGACCGGCCACACUGGGACUGAGACACGGCCCAGACUCCUACGGGAGGCAGCAGUAGGGAAUCUUCCGCAAUGGGCGAAAGCCUGACGGAGCGACGCCGCGUGAGCGAAGAAGGCCUUCGGGUCGUAAAGCUCUGUUGUGAGGGACGAAGGAGCGCCGUUUGAAGAAGGCGGCGCGGUGACGGUACCUCACGAGGAAGCCCCGGCUAACUACGUG